rnacentral:rRNA from 1 species
UACAGAGGGGCCGAGCGUUAUGCGGAAUCACUGGGCUUAAAGCGUGUGUAGGCGGAUCUGUAAGUACCUUGUGAAAUCCCACGGCUCAACCGUGGAACUGCUUGGUAUACUGCGGGUCUUGAGCCACCUAGGGGCAAGUGGAACAAACGGUGGAGCGGUGAAAUGCGUAGAUAUCGUUUGGAACGCCAAUGGUGAAAACAACUUGCUGGGGGUGUGCUGACGCUGAGACACGAAAGCCAGGGGAGCAAACGGG